CUCUUCCAGCAUGGCUGAAGACAACUCUUCACACAAGAUGGUAGCAACAAGUCAUAGGUGCAGUUGCACCAAAUUCACAGAAGAUUAAUUGAAAAUUCUCAUCAAUAGCUUCAAUCAAAAACUUUACUCAGAUUAUGCUAUCAAACAAAAACUUGCUUUAGAAAUCAAUACAGAAGAUUCACCCAGAAUCCAGAUUUGGUUUCAGAAUCGAAGAGCUAGGCACAGAUUCCAGGAAAGAUCAGACCUGAGACUUUAGAGUCAAGCCAGAGCCAUAAGCAAGAUCAACCUGGUAGAGAAGCCAGACGGUGUCGUACUACCUACAGCACCUCUCAACUACGCACUCUCAACAAGGCAUUUAUGAAAAACCCAUACCCUGGGAUUGAUUCCAGAGAACAAAUUGCUAAAUAAAUUGGUGCUCCAGGCUGGGCAUAGUGGCUCACAACUGUAAUCCCAACACUUUGGGAGGCUGAGGCGGGUGGAUCACCUGAGGUCAGGAGUUUGAACUCCAGUCUGGGCAACAAGAGCGAAACUCUGUCUCAAAAAAAAUAAAAGAAAAGAAAAGAAAGAAAGAAAUUGGUGCUCCAGAGUCAAGAGUCCAAAUUUGGUUCCAAAAUCAAAGAUCUAGAUUUCAUCUUCAGAGAAAAAGGGAACCUGUUGUGUCCUUAGAACAAGAAGACCAGGGGCAAGAU
rnacentral:lncRNA from 1 species